rnacentral:rRNA from 1 species
CCUACGGGAGGCAGCAGUAAGGAAUAUUGAUCAAUGGACGCAAGUCUGAACCAGCCAUGCCGCGUGAAGGAUUAAGGCCCUCUGGGUUGUAAACUUCUUUUAUAGGGGACGAAAAAAGGGCAUUCUUGCUCACUUGACGGUACCCUAGGAAUAAGCACCGGCUAACUCCGUGCCAGCAGCCGCGGUAAUACGGAGGGUGCAAGCGUUAUCCGGAUUUACUGGGUUUAAAGGGUGCGUAGGUGGGUUGGUAAGUCAGUGGUGAAAUCUUCGAGCUUAACUCGGAAACUGCCAUUGAUACUAUCAAUCUUGAAUCAUCUAGAGGUAAGCGGAAUAUGUCAUGUAGCGGUGAAAUGCUUAGAUAUGACAUAGAACACCAAUUGCGAAGGCAGCUUACUAUGGAUGUAUUGACACUGAGGCACGAAAGCGUGGGGGAUACAAACGAGGUAUUAGACUACCCGUGGUACGUACCGACCGUACCCGUAAACGUAGUAGGAUACUCGACUAUUUGUGAUAUACUAUAAGUGUNUGAGAGAAGANAUAAGUACUACCACCGUAGGAGACGACCGACGAGUAGUAAACGUAAGUAGUAGUAGACGNGNGAGAGAGACGACGACGACGACGGAGGGAGGAGG